ACCAGCACCUCAAGUGGUCAGGAUGAUUAUUGGGCCUAAAGCAUCCGUAGCCGGCUCUGUAAGUUUCGGUUAAAUCUGUGCGCUUAACGUACAGGCUGCCGGGAAUACUGCAGAGCUAGGGAGUGGGAGAGGUAGACGGUACUCGGUAGGAAGGGGUAAAUCCUUUGAUCUAUUGAUGACCACCUGUGGCGAAGGCGGUCUACCAGAACACGUCCGACGGUGAGGGAUGAAAGCUGGGGGAGCAAACCGGAUUAGAUACCCGGGUAGUCCCAGCUGUAAACUAUGCAAACUCAGUGAUGCAUUGGCUUGUGGCCAAUGCAGUGCUGCAGGGAAGCCGUUAAGUUUGCCGCCUGGGAAGUACGUACGCAAGUAUGAAACUUAAAGGAAUUGGCGGGGAGCACCACAAGGGGUGAAGCCUGCGGUUC
rnacentral:rRNA from 1 species